rnacentral:rRNA from 1 species
AUUGAACGCUGGCGGCAUGCCUUACACAUGCAAGUCGAACGGUAACAGGUCUUCGGAUGCUGACGAGUGGCGAACGGGUGAGUAAUACAUCGGAACGUGCCCGAUCGUGGGGGAUAACGGAGCGAAAGCUUUGCUAAUACCGCAUACGAUCUACGGAUGAAAGCAGGGGACCGCAAGGCCUUGCGCGGACGGAGCGGCCGAUGGCAGAUUAGGUAGUUGGUGGGAUAAAAGCUUACCAAGCCGACGAUCUGUAGCUGGUCUGAGAGGACGACCAGCCACACUGGGACUGAGACACGGCCCAGACUCCUACGGGAGGCAGCAGUGGGGAAUUUUGGACAAUGGGCGCAAGCCUGAUCCAGCCAUGCCGCGUGCAGGAUGAAGGCCUUCGGGUUGUAAACUGCUUUUGUACGGUAACGAAAGACUCUUUCUAAUUAAAGAGGUCCAUGAGGUACCGUAAGAAUAAGCACCGGCUAACUACGUGCCAGCAGCCGAC